UUGAAAUGUCAAUAUUGUAAAAAUAUUUUUAUUGAAAAUAUUUUCUAUUUUGCGAUGUGAUUUUGUGAUUAUUUUCCUAACAAAAAGAAGAACUGUGAUGUGGAUUGUGCUCUCUUUAAAGUUUGGACCUUUUGUAUAAAUGUAUAACGCAAAAGUUUUUUUAGUUUCAUGUUGUUUUAUGUAUUGGAUUUGACCUCAUAAAGAAAAGCAUUAAUUUGCGUAUAUAUCUUGUUUUUAAUGAAGAACAUCAAACCGAAAUAAUACAAUCAUGUCGAUGAAGUAUUUGAAAGGAUGGACAACCCUUAGUACAGCGCAUGACAAGAAAAUCGUACCGUCUACUCCAUCUAAAUCCGGUCUCCGUCAGUAAGUGCUGUCAAAAUGAACAUUUUCUGUGGCUACGCAGUUCAAAAUUAUUUUAAUAUUUAAUCUUAAAAUAAUAUUUUUUGAAAAUAGUAAAAAAAAUAUUAAACACUAUUAUUAUUAUAUAUUAUUAAAUAUUAAUCCAGUACUGUAUUACAAUUUCUACAAAAUA